rnacentral:lncRNA from 1 species
AAAUGCCAGUUGACUGACUUAUGUGAUGAUGUCCUAUUUACCUAUUGUUAUACCCUUGUUUUUCCUUGAUAGGAAAUGUUAUAGUAACAUGUCUAGUUAACUAAGGGACCCUGCAUGACUAUGGAUGGAAUGCCACAAGCCCUUAUGCCACCAAGAGGGCUCCUGAUUGGAUGAACCUGGGAUUGUUGCACAGGAAGUUGAUCUCCAUCCAGAGGAGCCAGGUGGGAGAAUCCCGAAUACUGCCUGUAACCAGACAGCUUUGUUCAGCCAUCCCUGAGUGCCAGAAUCAAGAAAGCUCACAUGUGAGGUGCUGACCAGACCAAGAACUAGUUAUUUUGAGAGCCAAAGUCCUGGGCAGGAGGCACCUCCUUAGGAGGAAGGAGAGGGCAUUAGUUGGAUGCUUCAGACAAGCGGCAGAGAAUCCAUUCUAUCAUUGGCCUAUUCCCCAUGGGAUGUGCUCCUGCUAAAGGCCUUUUACGAGCAUGGUUGUCUCAGCUUCCAGGAAUCUCCGAAACCUCUAGAUUAUGAGCUCACAGUUGGCUUGUGGCAGGUAAGAGUCUCUUUGAGUUUCAAGGGAUUCUAGGGCAGCAGAAAUGCGGGGGCGGGGGGGUCACAA